GCAGUCGAACGGCAGCGCGGGCUUCGGCCUGGCGGCGAGUGGCGAACGGGUGAGUAAUAUAUCGGAACGUACCCAAGAGUGGGGGAUAACGUAGCGAAAGUUACGCUAAUACCGCAUACGAUCUAAGGAUGAAAGCAGGGGAUCGCAAGACCUUGUGCUCCUGGAGCGGCCGAUAUCCGAUUAGCUAGUUGGUGAGGUAAAGGCUCACCAAGGCAACGAUCAGUAGCUGGUCUGAGAGGACGACCAGCCACACUGGAACUGAGACACGGUCCAGACUCCUACGGGAGGCAGCAGUGGGGAAUUUUGGACAAUGGGGGCAACCCUGAUCCAGCAAUGCCGCGUGAGUGAAGAAGGCCUUCGGGUUGUAAAGCUCUUUUGUCAGGGAAGAAAAGGUCGUGGCUAAUAUCCACGACUGCUGACGGUACCUGAAGAAUAAGCACCGGCUAACUACGUGCCAGCAGCCGCGGUAAUACGUAGGGUGCAAGCGUUAAUCGGAAUUACUGGGCGUAAAGCGUGCGCAGGCGGUUUCGUAAGUCUGUCGUGAAAUCCCCGGGCUUAACCUGGGAAUGGCGAUGGAGACUGCGAGGCUAGAGUUUGGCAGAGGGGGGUAGAAUUCCACGUGUAGCAGUGAAAUGCGUAGAGAUGUGGAGGAACACCGAUGGCGAAGGCAGCCCCCUGGGUCAAAACUGACGCUCAUGCACGAAAGCGUGGGGAGCAAACAGGAUUAGAUACCCUGGUAGUCCACGCCCUAAACGAUGUCUACUAGUUGUUGGGUCUUAAUUGACUUAGUAACGCAGCUUACGCGUGAAGU
rnacentral:rRNA from 1 species